CCUACGGGAGGCAGCAGUGGGGAAUAUUGGACAAUGGGCGCAAGCCUGAUCCAGCAAUACCGCGUGUGUGAAGAAGGCCUGAGGGUUGUAAAGCACUUUCAAUGGGGAGGAACACCUGCUGAUUAAUACUUGGCAGACUGACAUUACCCAUACAAGAAGCACCGGCUAACUCCGUGCCAGCAGCCGCGGUAAUACGGAGGGUGCAAGCGUUAAUCGGAAUUACUGGGCGUAAAGCGUGCGUAGGCGGCUUGUUAAGUCAGAUGUGAAAGCCCUGGGCUCAACCUGGGAACGGCAUUUGAAACUGGCAGGCUCGAGUUAGGUAGAGGGGAGUGGAAUUUCAGGUGUAGCGGUGAAAUGCGUAGAUAUCUGAAGGAACACCAGUGGCGAAGGCGACUCCCUGGACCCAAACUGACGCUGAGGUACGAAAGCGUGGGUAGCAAACAGGAUUAGAUACCCUGGUAGUCCACGCCGUAAACGAUGUCGACUAGCCGUUGGGCUCUUAUAGAGUUUUAGUGGGNGCAGCGUACGACAGUUAAGUACGACCGCCGCGGGUAAGGUACGGCCGCGAACGGUUAAAACGUUAACGUUAAAGUAAGAAGUUAGACGGCGUUGAGACGUUGCCGACGGACGACGACGAGGGGAGGUUAGGAG
rnacentral:rRNA from 1 species